CCUACCGGUGGCAGCAGUGAGGAAUAUUGGGCAAUGGAGGCAACUCUGACCCAGCCAUGCCGCGUGAGUGAAGAAGGUUUUCGGAUUGUAAAGCUCUUUCGGCUGUGACGAUGAUGACGGUAGCAUCUAAAGAAGCCCCGGCUAACUUCGUGCCAGCAGCCGCGGUAAUACGAAGGGGGCAAGCGUUGUUCGGAAUUACUGGGCGUAAAGGGAGUGUAGGCGGUUUAGUAAGAUAGUGGUGAAAGACCAGGGCUUAACUUUGGAAUUGCCAUUAUAACUAUUAGACUAGAGUUACAGAGAGGAUAGUGGAAUACCCAGUGCAGAGGUGAAAUGCGUAGAUAUUGGGUAGAACACCAGUGGCGAAGGCGACUAUCUGGCUGUACAUUGACGCUGAGGCUCGAAAGCAUGGGGAUCAAACAGGAUUAGAUACCCUAGUAGAC
rnacentral:rRNA from 1 species